UAGAGAAAAUGUGUAGAGUUAAACGCUCA
rnacentral:piRNA from 1 species